rnacentral:lncRNA from 1 species
UUGAUUUAGGAUUUGGUUAGGGUUUAGUUCAGGAUUUAGAUUAGGAUUUGAUUUAGGAUUUGGUUUAAGGUUUGGAGUUUAGAGUUUAUUUAGGAUUUAAGAUUUGGAUUAGGGUUUGAUUUAGGGUAUAGGAUUUGGUUUAGGAUUUGGAAUUUAGGAUUUAUUUAGGGUUUAGGGAUUGGUUUAGGGUUUAAGAUUUAGUUUAGGGUUUAGGAUUUGGUUUAGGAUUUGAUUAAGAUUUUAUUUAGGAUUUAGGGUUUAGUUAGGGUUUGAUUUAGGAUUUAAGGUUUAGUUAAGGUUUGAUUUAGGAUUAGAAUUUGGUUUAGGAUUUGAUUGGGAUUGAUUUAAGGUUUUUUUAGGAUUUGAUUGAGGAUUUAGGAUUUUAUUCAGAUUUAAGAUUCAGUUAGUUUUGGCUUAAAGUUUGAAUGAAGUUCAAUAGGAUUUCAACUAGAAUUAAGUUAAGAUUGAAUUGAGAUGUAUUUGAGUGAUAUUUGUGAUCCUUCUAAUAUUUCUUUAAGAAUUCCUAUUAUUUAUUUGAAAUUUCUUUGAGGUUUUUUUGAAUUUGAUUAAGCUUGCU